rnacentral:rRNA from 1 species
GACGAACGCUGGCGGCGUGCUUAACACAUGCAAGUCGAACGGGCCCGCCCCUGUUUUUGGGGGUGGGUUGAGUGGCGAACGGGUGAGUAUCACGUGAGUAACCUGCCCCCUGCUCCUGGAUAACUGCUUGAAAGGGCGGCUAAUACGGGGUGUGCCGGCUGGUCCGCAUGGGCCUGGUCGGGAUAGUUUCAUCUUCGGGUGUUUCGGUGGGGGAUGGGCUCGCGGCCUAUCAGCUUGUUGGUGGGGUGAUGGCCCACCAAGGCGGUGACGGGUAGCCGGCCUGAGAGGGUGGGCGGCCACACGGGGACUGAGACACGGCCCAGACUGCUGCGGGAGGCAGCAGUGGGGGGUAUUGCACAAUGGGCGGAAGCCUGAUGCAGCGACGUCGCGUGAGGGAUGGAGGCCUUCGGGUUGUGAACCUCUUUCUCCGGUGGUGAAGGCCCUGUCCGUUGCGGCGGGGUUGACGGUAGCCGGGUAUGAAGCGCCGGCUAACUACGUG